CCUACGGGAGGCAGCAGUGGGGAAUUUUGGACAAUGGGCGCAAGCCUGAUCCAGCAAUGCCGCGUGAGUGAAGAAGGCCUUCGGGUUGUAAAGCUCUUUUGUCAGGGAAGAAACGGCAGUUUCUAAUACAGAUUGCUAAUGACGGUACCUGAAGAAUAAGCACCGGCUAACUACGUGCCAGCAGCCGCGGUAAUACGUAGGGUGCAAGCGUUAAUCGGAAUUACUGGGCGUAAAGCGUGCGCAGGCGGUUUUGUAAGUUUGUCGUGAAAUCCCCGGGCUCAACCUGGGAAUGGCGAUGAAGACUGCAAGGCUAGAAUCUGGCAGAGGGGGGUAGAAUUCCACGUGUAGCAGUGAAAUGCGUAGAGAUGUGGAGGAACACCGAUGGCGAAGGCAGCCCCCUGGGUCAAGAUUGACGCUCAUGCACGAAAGCGUGGGGAGCAAACAGGAUUAGAUACCCUGGUAGUCCACGCCCUAAACGAUGUCUACUAGUUGUCGGGUUUUAAAUUAACUUGGUAACGCAGCUAACGCGUGAAGUAGGCCGCCUGGGGAGUACGGUCGCAAGAUUAAAACUUCAAAGGAUUGAGGCGUUGAGACGAGCGACGACGACGACGAGGAGGAGG
rnacentral:rRNA from 1 species